CGAUGGCCCACACGUUCACCAGGAUCCGUGUCUUAGCCGGCACAUCGUAGCCGCAGAUGCUGACGUGGCGCAGGGUCUCCCUCGGCAGCAGGAGCGGCGCGGCCGGGUGCAGCCGCAGCGUCUCCUUCACCACCAUCUUCAGGUACCUGAGCUUGGGCAUGUCGUCGGGCUGCACCCUCUCCUUGUCCCCCACCAAGGCCCUGAUCUCCUCUUGCACCUUCCUCAGCAUCGCCGGCCUUCGCAUCAGCUCCGCCAUCGCCCAGACCAUGGUCACCGAGCUCGUGUCCACGCUAGCAGUGAAGACAUUCUGAAACAUGUAUUUGUAGUAAUAAAGCAGUUAAUAAGGAUUAUUAGAUGCUAGUAAAACCAAUUAAUUACUGGUAACUCCUCGAUGUAUGGCCUUUUUGUUUUGCGUACCGAGAGGAGUCCCUUGAUGUGGUCUCUGGUGAAGGCGAGGGAGCCCUGCUGGUGGCGGCGCUCCUUCAUGAGGGCGACGAAGGCGUCGAUGAGGUCGGGGCCGUGCUCCGGCGCGGCGCGGGACGGGUCGAGGUGCUGGUCGAUGAUGACGUCGAAGAAGGCGUCCAGGUCCCGGAACACCCUCUCCCGGCGUGGGGCGGCGCCGGUGAGGCGGUCGACGAGGCGGCCGGCGGCGUUGGGGUAGUAGUCCUCGGCGGAGAAGCCGGCCUUGGCGCUCAUGGCCUCGUCCAGCACGUCGUGGAAGUGCUUCCUGUGCGCGAACUGCUCCGUGCCGUAGAUGUUCCCGAACGCCACCGUGCCGAUGACGCCGUCCAUGAGCCCGAAGAUGUGGUCCUCCAGGAACACCGGCGCGCCUCCGGCGCUGCUCAGCCUGCCGACGAGCUUCUCCACCUCGGCCUCCCUGGCGUACCAGCUGGCCUGGACGCGGCGCGCGCUGAGGAACUCGACGACGAACAGCUUUGCGCAUCUCGCGCCAGUACUCGCUGUAGGGCGCGAACGCCACGUCCUUGUGGUCGUACGACAGCCGGCGAGCCCCCGCCGUGUCCGGCCGGCUGCAGCAGUCGACGUCGUGCGCCUUCAUCACCUCCAACGGCCGCCUCCGCCGACGACACCACCAGCGUCGGCACGCUGCCCAGCCGGAGCAGCAUCGCGGGGCCGUGGCGGCGCGCCAGGUCGCGGAGGCUCUGGUGCGGCAGCGCACCCAGCUGGUGCAGGUUGCCCAGGAUGGGCAGCCUCGGCGGGCCCGGCGGCAGGUGGAGGCGCCGGCCGCCUUUCCCGCUGCUCCAGCUUCUUCUUCUUCUCGUUGCAACGAGGAGGAGGAGCAGAGGGACGAGGACCAGGAGGACGGUGACCUGCCAUUGCUGAGGCAAGCUGCAGUAGUCUAGGACUGCCGGCGCCGCCAUUUGUUUGUGUUUGUGUUUGUGUUUGUUUUUCUUCUCUGAAUGGAUCGGUUCGCAGUCUUUCUGAAUUGGAGUACGAGGGUGGUUGUGGUUGCUUGUACAUGCCAUGGGGGUUACUUAUAAUAAGGAUGGCUCUGCACUCUGCUACGUGCUGAAUAAACUUUUUGUCGCUUUUCCUAUGUGUCUCUCUUUCUUCGUCACUGAGAAUGGAAUAUUGGUAAUGAAUUGGGGCUGCAUGCACUGGACGAUAGAUGCAAAGUAAAGGCCGGAACUCUUUUUCCUUCAUUUAUUAAAAGAAGAAAAGGUUAGGCUAUCUGGUAACUGGUAACUGCAGGCGUUAGCGUUACUUGGUGGGUUGAUGGUGCUAAUGUGACUCGCCUGCGUUUCAUUGUCGGCCGGCUUGUGUUGGCAUUACGUUGAGCUAGCUACUUAUGAGUUGGUGGUUUUGGAAGGAUGCAUCAUCAACUGAAACUGACCCUUCCAAAGAGUUGUUACAGGCUUAUUACAGCAAGUUGUUGCAGCUAGUACGUACGUGGACAGACAAGGACUUGAUGGUUACAAACUGCAAGAUCUCGUCUCAUGCAGCAACAGUAGCAUCAGAAUUCAGAAAGAAAUCGACCAAUAAGGCCAGCGCUUGCAUUUUAAAUAUGCUUCAUUAUCAGUAGGUUGAUUCUCUUUGCUGAUCACUACAUAAACUGACACAGCAAAUAAUGCACCGAGGACGAUAGAUGUUGUUUUCAGGAAAUGAAAUUUGUCUCUGGCUUGCAAGCAAAGAUGCUGUACGUGUUUGGAUUGAGUUCAGGCGCCAGCAGCGUUGUUGUUCACCAAAAUGCCCACGAAUGCUGCUGACCGCUUGGUGAUGACGUGGAGACAGGUGAGGUAAGCACCCACCACGUAUGGCAUGACGCACUGGCUAUCCUCCUUUUUUGGGAAAGAGUUUACCCUACAGCAUAUAUGUUGUGGGAUUGAUCCAUAAUGCCCAGCUCUCCAUCAUUUUUAAGCAUAUAUACUGUGGUUGCAGAACAUUCAAGAGCUACCGCAAGGGAAAAAAAAAACAAAAUAGCUAUAUAGGAACCAAAAAGUCUGUCUAGUCUUGUCUUGAUGAUAUAUAAAGCAAUAGCUGCUUCUUCGUCGUACGCUUCUUGACGGAAUCAGCAAAUAACCGAGCCUUCAUCAUCAUCAUCAUCAUCUUCAACAUCUCAUGUCAUGUCAUCUAACCGGACUUAGCUUGUUCAGGCGCACCAAGGAGUACGCAUGCAUAAAGAAAACAAUCCUGUGCAACAAAUCGAUCGGAUUACGGAUAAACUUAUUUGAAAUUGCCAUUUUGCUCCUGUGACUUUAAUCUCCAGACGGCGCAAGCAAGCACAGACGGGUCAAAUUAAACACCGCUACAAAUUCAUAAUUUUUCAACCCCUGAAGCAGGCAACUGAUUAGCAACAAAGUCUUCCAUAGACGUAUGGAUUUUUCAAACUAGCUACCCGGUUUUGACUUUCUUUGCUGACCAAGCUAGAGAAGCAAGGAAAGCUCCAUCGCUGGCUGGUUGCAACCUAAUAAGAUUCGAGCCUGGGCCCGCUCAGGUUACGUCCUUUCAUACAGAGAGUAACGUCUCGCGUUUGGUUAAAAAGAUGUGGGUUGGGUUCCACAUGAGAAUAUUCCUCUCAGAUCCGGGUCGAGAUGGUCCGUCCAAAUCAAGCGGACUAUCUCGACCCACUUCGACGCGUCCUGCUCCGUCUGGGCGCGGGCGAGGGAGACGAGCGCGGCUGCGCGAGAACGAGCGCCCAGGGGGAGCUCCACCGCCGUCAGGCAAGCUCGAUCCCCGCCGUCGCCGGCCGAGCGAGCUCGAUCCCCGGUGCGGGAGAGGGAGGGAGGGGGCGACCGACGGCGUGGAAGAGGGAGGAACGGCCGGCGACGCGAGGAGAUGGAGGGGGCGACGGCCGGCGUGGGAAGGGAGGGGAGGGGGAGGCUGCCGGCGUGGAAGAGGGCGGAGCGGCCAGCGUGGAAGAGGGAGGAGUGGCCGGCGCGCUAGGGGGAGCAGGCCGUCGGCAGGGAGCCAGGUGCCGAGGGAGCAGAGCCAGUGGCGGGGGAGCCAGGCACCGGGAGGACCCGGGGAAGAAGAUGGAGUAAAAAAGUGAAGAGGAUGACAUGUUGGACCCGCAGCUGAUAGGUGGGACCCGCUACUAACGGUGUUAAAAUGCCAUCCCUUCUAUCCCUCCCAAACCCUUCAACCAAACAAAAGAUCGGGUCCAACCCAUCCCUCUUAUCCAAAUACGAGAUGUGUUGACUCCAACCCAAAAAAGGGAUCGGCUCCAACCCAACCCGCGUCGUCCCAAAACCAAAUGCUAAGCUCCACCGUCCAUCCAAAUAUUGAAAAGAAAAAAAUCAAUCAAUCAAUUAACAAAAUAGACUAUAGAACAUUCUGUCACCUUGCCAUGAUGCCAUCCUUUCCUCUUUACCAUAGUUUUCCAUUUAUUCCAUACUUCCAUGUACCUUUUUUUUUAGAAAGCAUACUUCCAUGUACUAAAUAAAAUAAAAUAAAAUACUAGGAUCUGUCGCCUUCAGUGACACCUAACCCCCUCAUUGGCCUGCCUGCUGCGUCGCGUGCGUGAGUGAUCGAGAGAGAUCCGAGAGGGGCAGCGGCAGCAUCGCCGCCGGCGGCGCAGGGUCUCCUUCGCCACCACCUUCAGGUACGGAACCAAACUCGUGCCGAUGCCGCCAAGGGACGUGUCCUGAGAUGAACAAUAAUCGUCAGCAAUCAGCAUCAUCCAGACAUGGGACUGACGGACUGCGCAUAUCAGCUGCGAUCGAGCAGCUUUGUACCAUGAUGCCCAGCUAUCUCCGUUGCCGUACGAUCCGUGUAUCUACGGGUUGGAGUCCUGCAUCCUUCCGAUUCCAAACCCUAGUGGUAGAAGCGAGGAAUCGAGGCGGCGAUCAGAGAGGAGGGGAGAGGCGGUCGUUGGCAUGGCUUUGAGGUCGCUGGGCUCUCUGGUUCGCGGGAUCGUUGUCCAGGGGUCUCUUUGGGUCGCCGGCCGUUCCACGUCUUGGUAAAUUUCGUUUGUCUUGGGUGCAUGCAAGCCUUGUUCAGUUACUCUGUUGGCCUGAAUGAGUUUUCAGACUGGAACGCUGAAGAAAUUGCUAGGCUGUAGGUGGGUGUUACAACUAGAAGCGCUCAUGUGUACCUGCUCCAAAUGAUGAAGCCUUUUCUUUUUGCGCAGCGGAUCUGGCAUAAGGCGGUGGCCAGUGCCAAGAACAAGGCUAUCAGUAUCUUUGUUUCUAUGAUAGAUAGAAAUGUGCACUGACUUCCUUGAAGAGAAUGUGCACUGGUUGGAGACUACUCAGAUCGUGUCCUGGAUGCUGGCAGUUUGAGUUUCGUUUAUUUCCGUCGUGCUGCUUCACCACUGUGAGUUUCCAAUUGUCGAUUGAUCCCUGUAUUGAUCACUCGGGAAGCAGUUGUAUGCUGACAAGAAAAAAAAAGUAGAGUUUGAACACCUGUGUAGUAGUGCAAUAUUAUUUGAACCUAGUAGCUAGUACACAAUGCAAGAUUGAAUGUGCCGUGCUCAAAUCUGCAGGAACUUUGUUUUUGCUUCGUAUAUGCAGUAUGUGUAUGUGCUGAAAAUUUAACUCGGUUGGUCCUUUUGUUCUACUGUCUACUUUUCUUUCAUCAUCAUGUGGCUUCUUCAGAGCUGCAGUCUGCAUGCUAAUAAAUCCUUUUCUUGUAUUUACAGAAGCAGCAGCAGAAGCAGGAAUCCGAAGGUUGAGAAGGGUCGAGAAGCAGCAAAAGCAGGAACCCUAGCUGAUAAGAUUAAUCUCCCCGAACACCAACAACCGGAGCGACACCAGGAUGCAUUCCCAAUUUUAUUUUUCCAUGUCUUAAGUUCUUUGUUCGGGAUCAUGCAUUGCAUUGUCUCAUGUAGUAGAAUAGCUGAUCCAUCAAGAAUAUAUAUCCCCCAUCAAUUAAUUCAAAGCUCUCUAUCAAUGUUCCUCAGAACAUGUUUGUUUUCCAAGAAUAUUCCGGGCAUCCUCUUCUGAUUUCCACGAGCUCAAAUUUUUUCACUUGCUUAUCAUGACUAGUUUUCCAUUUGUUCCUUCAAAAAUACUAGAAAAGAAAGAGAGAAUUUUUUUUUUGAGAAUAAAUAAGUGCCUGGCCUACAGAAUUCAGGCCCGGCCCAAGUUACUCCGUGUGUCCGCAAUGCUUCUGCGGCCCAAUUCCUUGCAGAAUUCAGCGUGCGCCUCCUGCUGGCUGCUGCAAGCAGCGACUCCGCGUGCUCGAGCGAGCGAGCGAGAGAGAGAGAGAGAGAGAGAGAGAUGGGGGACGCCCACGCGAAGCGGGUGCUGCUCACCGCCACCGGCGACGCCAUCUCCUGGGGGAUCGCCUCUAACCUCGCCAAGCACGGCUGCAGGUAGACGCCCCGCCUCGUCGCCGCUUGCUCAGAUCUACGCUUCCCCCCCUCUUCGUUCGGUUCUGAUUCGGCUUGAAGGUUGGUUUUGGUGGGCGAUGAGGACUCGCUGGCCGCGACGGUGGAGGAGGUGCGGCGCUGCGGGGGUGGAGGCGUCGCGGUGGUGGGGCUGGACUUCGAGUCCUGCGACGAGGCGGCCGUAGACGCGGCAGUGGAUCGGGCGUGGCGCUGCUUCGCCGGACUGGACGCCUUCGUCAACUGCUACUCCUACGAGGGUACGAGCGAUACACAUACAAACAUACACGCCUGAUGCCGGAUCAAUAAUUGGCUGCCUUUACUUGUUUACCCUUGAGCUAAGUGCUCAUGCCACAGUAAAAAUCGUGAACAAGGGUGUGCCUGUGGGCAGAGGGCUGAAUUGCUAAUGCCUUCCCUUUUACCAAAAAAGAAACCAAAUGGUAAUGCCGUUUAGCUUGUAUUCAGCAGGAAACUGUGGAAAUGAGGAAAUACAGAGUGGGGUAUACUGAAUUUGCAUCUUAUAUCAUGUUUCAGACAUGUUUCUGAACUGUGCUGUCAUGAUCAAAAUUGAUCUGUUCGAUAGCAUGUGUCGAACUGAUAUGGUGCUGCUGUUUUAAUGUUUGUGAACCAGCAUUUGAGAUAUUGCAUCCUUAAACAAAGCAGAGGUUGCAGUAAUACCGCUAAAGUCUGAAUAUAGUUUUGGAAUACUGAAAUGAUCAGAAAUUCCAGUAUUGCCCACAUUUACACUCUGCUUCAGUCCAUGGUUGUUUUUAUAUAAAUGUUCAUUUUCUGCACGCUCAGGGGAGGUGCAAGAUUGCCUCAGCAUAAGUGAAGAUGAGUACAAGAAGACCAUGAAAGUAAAUGUGACUACACCUUGGUUUUUAAUGAAGGCGAUUGCAAAGCGGUUCCGGGAUACAAAAUCUGGUGGAUCUGUUGUGUUCUUGACUCAGAUUAUUGGUGCUGAGAGAGGAUUAUAUCCAGGUGCUGCAGCUUAUGGUACAAGCUUAGGAGCUGUUCACCAGUUGGUCCGAGUAAGCAUCCUAGUCUACUACUUUGACUUUCUCUUUGAUUCUGUUGAUACCUCCUGUCCAAAUAAAUGCAAAAACUGGUCAUGUUCCAAUGCUAAAUUGCACUUUGAAAUGAACAGCAAAGUUUAGACUUCCUAAAAAAAAAGCAAAGUUUAGCUCCAUAGUUCAUAUCAUUCUCAUACGUGUAUGAGUUUCUGCACCUAUAAAUUACACAUUUAAAACAGGAGGUAAUGGGUAUGCCAGAUGCCAAAUUUCACAGUUACUAAUUUUUCAGUAUUUCUAGACCACACACAUAGGUGCACACAGUGGCGAUUGUUUCGCGGACACGCAGGAAUCUGCUUAUCUUUGUAUUGAGUUGGAGAGCAACCUACCAAUCUAAGUACAUGAUACAACGAACCAAUUGCUGGAGCACACUAACAUGGUAAACUCCUUGGGUUGGCAAAAGAAAUUUGGAUGCACCACUACCUGAGUUGUUCAACCUUAAUAUCCAGACAAUAUCAGCCUAAUAAUACCAUAACCCUGAAAUAACCCUAGUUUCUCAGACGACCUAUCAAUUCAGGGAACAUAUGCUGCGUUCCGCUACCCACAUACCUGUUUGACCUUCUCUACAAUCUGCAUCCUUUGAGUUUCUGAAUUUCUGAAAACACUAGUGUUAUGCUCAGUUCAUAUAUGCCAAUGGUGAAAAAGGAUGAUAGAAUUGCAGCCCACUGCCCCUCUGAUUGAUGAACCCAUAAUAUUAUUUUCAUAGACAGCCAUCAAUUAUAGGGGAUGACUAUCCCUCCCAGUCCCAGUGUAAACCUCUGUAACUGUAAUGUUCAGUGGUGACAGUCUAUUGAUUCUGUCUCUUGAUUGCUACCAUUAACUUUUAGCAUUCUAAAUCUUCCCCUUGUUUCAGCUGUCUGCCAUGGAGCUCGGCAAGCACAAGAUAAGGGUGAAUGCAGCUUGUCGCGGUCUGCAUCUGCAGGACAAGUUCCCGGUCUCUGUGGGUAAGGAGAAGGCUGAGAAGGCAACCGCACAGGUAAUGCCCCUGCGGAGAUGGUUGGAUCCGGAUAAGGACCUGGCAUCCACGGUGCUGUACCUGGUCGGGGAUGAAUCCUGCUACAUGACGGGCACAACAAUAUACGUCGAUGGCGCACAGUCCAUCGUGCGGCCGCGUAUGCGCUCCUACAUGUAGCCAGGCGAGGACAUAAUGGUAGAUCAGGAACGUGCAGAACGGCAGGAUUUCUUCUUCAUCAUGAGGAGCCGAUUGCUCAUCUGGAUGUAUAUACCAUUUGUGUAGUUAUGAUUUGCAUAGGGUGGAUUGAUUGGGUAACCAGUUAUGAAGUAAUAAAAUAUGGUAUCAUUGUUGUUGAUUGGGUACAAAUUAUUUCAGUUGCAUUCCACGAUUUGGAAUUGCACUGGAGGGUGGAUUUACUCUGGAUAUUUUCCCUUUGUCUUGUGGAUGGAGCAGAAGCCAUUGUGGUCAUGCGACUCUGGUAUGAUAUGAGCCUGGCCGUUACGUUACUGCUCCUUCCGUCCUAAAUUCCUAUUCGUUUUGAUUUUUCUAGAUACAUAGUUUUUACAACGUAUUUAGAUAUAUCUAGAUAUAAUAUAUAUUUAAAUGUAUAGAAAAAUAAUAUAUCUAGAUGACUUUUCUAGCUACAUAGUUUUUACUAUGUAUCUAGAUAUAAUAUAUAUAGGUGCAUAGAAAAACAAUAGUAAUUUAGGAGGCAGGGAAUACGUCGGAAGUCAGUACAGGUACAGAGGUACAGUGGGUCGCAGGACUCUUGUGCGCUUGCGUGUUUGGUCUUCCAUUACAACGUAUACUGAAUGCCGCCGAACAACGUCUAAUCACCACGGAGAAUAGAAACAAAUAGGAUUGUGCGGCAGAAUAGAAACAAAUAGGAUUGCAUCAUCUUCUUCAGCUCUGGCUGGGACUACUGCUGACGAAACGAGGGUGUUUGAUACGGGGUGCUAAACUUCAGCAGGGUCACAUCGGAUGUUCGGAUGCUAAUUAGAAGGAUUAAACAUGAGCUAAUUACAAAACUAAUUGCACAGAUGGAGUCUAAUUCGCGUCAGGACUCUAGUAGUGCUCAUUACACCAUCUAUAACUAAUGGACAGAGGCUCCUUAGGCGAGCAGUAGGGACUGCCUGAGCUGAAGAAGAUGGUCUCGCGGAUUCUGGUCUCCGGCGCAGAAGCGUUGUCGUUGAGUCUGUNNNNNNNNNNNNNNNNNNNNNNNNNNNNNNNNNNNNNNNNNNNNNNNNNNNNNNNNNNNNNNNNNNNNNNNNNNNNNNNNNNNNNNNNNNNNNNNNNNNNAGGCUUAAUAGAUUCGUCUCGCGAAUAAGACUCCAUCUGUACAAUUAGUUUUGUAAUUAGACUAUGUUUAAUACUCUAAUUAGUAUCCAAACAUCCGAUAUGACAGGUGCUAAAGUUUAGCAUGGGGUAUCCAAACACCCCUUACUAUUCCCUCUAUCCCAAAUAGUUUAUAUAUCGACCGCCUAGACGUGCGUAGUAUUUUAAUUAGGAUGUUUGGAUACUAGGUGCUAAACUUUAGCAGUGUCACAUCGGAUGUUCGAAUGCUAAUUAGGAGGACUAAACAUGAGCUAAUUAUAAAACUAAUUGCAGAACCCUGUGCUAAUUCGCGAGAUGAAUCUAUUAAGCCUAAUUAAUCCAUCAUUAGCAAAUGGUUACUGUAGCACCACAUUGUCAAAUCAUGGACUAAUUAGGCUUAAUAGAUUCGUCUCGCGAAUUAGACUCCAUCUGUGCAAUUAGUUUUGUAAUUAGCUUAUGUUUAAUACUUCUAAUUAGCAUCUAAACAUCCGAUAUGAUAGGUGUUAACUUUAGCAUGAGUAUCCAAACGGGACUUAAAACUAGAUGACGCAAAGUUCAAAUAUUGCUGGUACAAAACCAUGACGCAGCACCGUGGAUAUUUGCAGGACGCAGGGUAUCGCCGCAGAGCAUGCAUGCGGUGGUUCACCAUUUUUUGCUUGUUUUUUGGGUUUUCAAGUCUACAAGCUACUGCAACGACGAUGCAAGGUGAGGCACCUACGUCGCGCACGCUUAUCUUUUAUUCAAUCGUCGACGAUAUGAUGACGACUACUACUACACUACGCCGUCGCCGUGCGGUGGUGGUACCUUGUGGGCACCAGCACCAGCGGCAUCUUCUGGUGGAACGUCAGCCCGCCGGCCUCCUCCAUGCUCACGUCCUCCGCCGCCAUCCCCUCCGGCAGCGCCCAGUCGAAGCAGUAGAGCAGGUUAGCCAGCGUGAAAGUCACGUUGGUCUCGCCCAUGGCGAGGCCCGGGCAGAUCCGCCGCCCCGCCCCGAACGGCACCAGCUCGAAGUGCGCGCCGUUGUAGUCCACGUCGCUCCCCUCGAACCUGUCCGGGUGGAACUCCUCGGCGUCCGCCCAGCUCGCCGGGUCCCUGCCGAUCGCCCACGCGUUCACGAACACGCGCGUCCUCGCCGGCACGUCGUACCCGCCGAUUCUGACGUCCCGCAUCGUCUCCCGCGGCAGCAGCAGCGUCGCCGGCGGGUGCAGCCGCAGGGUCUCCUUCACCACCAUCUUCAGGUACGGGAGCUUGGGCACGUCGUCGGGGUCCACGCGCGCCUUGCCGCCCACGACGGCCCUCACCUCGUCCUGCGCCUUCCUCAGCACCCGCGGCUUCCGGAUCAGCUCCGACAUCGCCCACAGCAUCGUCACCGAGCUCGUGUCGAUGC
rnacentral:lncRNA from 1 species